rnacentral:rRNA from 1 species
UACGGAGGAUCCAAGCGUUAUCCGGAAUCAUUGGGUUUAAAGGGUCCGUAGGCGGUUUAGUAAGUCAGUGGUGAAAGCCCAUCGCUCAACGGUGGAACGGCCAUUGAUACUGCUAGACUUGAAUUAUUAGGAAGUAACUAGAAUAUGUAGUGUAGCGGUGAAAUGCUUAGAGAUUACAUGGAAUACCAAUUGCGAAGGCAGGUUACUACUAAUGGAUUGACGCUGAUGGACGAAAGCGUGGGUAGCGAACAGGAUUAGAUACCCUGGUAGUCCACGCCGUAAACGAUGGAUACUAGCUGUUGGGCGCAAGUUCAGUGGCUAAGCGAAAGUGAUAAGUAUCCCACCUGGGGAGUACGUUCGCAAGAAUG